rnacentral:rRNA from 1 species
UACGGAGGAUGCGAGCGUUAUCCGGAUUUAUUGGGUUUAAAGGGUGCGCAGGCGGCACGGCAAGCCGGCGGUCAAAUCGCGGGGCUCAACCCCGCCCAGCCGUCGGAACUACCGGGCUAGAGUGGGCGAGAAGUGCGCGGAAUGCGUGGUGUAGCGGUGAAAUGCAUAGAUAUCACGCAGAACUCCGAUUGCGAAGGCAGCGCACCGGCGCCCUACUGACGCUCAGGCACGAAAGCGUGGGUAUCGAACAGG